AGUGAACGCUGGCGGUAGGCCUAACACAUGCAAGUCGAACGGCAGCACAGUAAGAGCUUGCUCUUACGGGUGGCGAGUGGCGGACGGGUGAGGAAUACAUCGGAAUCUACUUUUUCGUGGGGGAUAACGUAGGGAAACUUACGCUAAUACCGCAUACGACCUACUGGUGAAAGCAGGGGAUCUUCGGACCUUGCGCGAUUGAAUGAGCCGAUGUCGGAUUAGCUAGUUGGCGGGGUAAAGGCCCACCAAGGCGCCGAUCCGUAGCUGGUCUGAGAGGAUGAUCAGCCACACUGGAACUGAGCCCCGGUCCAGACUCCUCCGGGAGGAGGCGGAGGGGAAUAUUGGACAAUGGGCGCAAGCCUGAUCCAGCCAUACCGGGUGGGUGAAGAAGGCCUUCGGGUUGUAAAGCCCUUUUGUUGGGAAAGAAAAGCAGCAGGUUAAUACCCCGCUGUUCUGACGGUACCCAAAGAAUAAGCACCGGCUAACUUCGUG
rnacentral:rRNA from 1 species